rnacentral:rRNA from 1 species
GACGAACGCUGGCGGCGUGCUUAACACAUGCAAGUCGAACGGAAAGGCCCUGCUUUCGUGGGGUGCUCGAGUGGCGAACGGGUGAGUAACACGUGAGUAACCUGCCCUUGACUUUGGGAUAACUUCAGGAAACUGGGGCUAAUACCGGAUAGGAGCUCCUGCUGCAUGGUGGGCGUUGGAAAGUUUCGGCGGUUGGGGAUGGACUCGCGGCUUAUCAGCUUGUUGGUGGGGUAGUGGCUUACCAAGGCUUUGACGGGUAGCCGGCCUGAGAGGGGGACCGGCCACAAUGGGACUAAGAUACGGCCCAGACUCCUACGGGAGGCAGCAGUGGGGAGUAUUGCACAAUGGGCGGAAGCCUGAUGCAACAACGCCGCGGGCGGGAUGACGGCCUUCGGGUUGUAAACCGCUUUCGCCUGUGACGAAGCGUGACUGACGGUAAUGGAUAAAGAAGCACCGGCUAACUACGUG